AUGGAGGGGGAUGGAGAGGAUGGGAGGGUGGGGCAGGGCAGAACAGGCAGACUGCAGUCUCUGGCUCUGAGAGUGCCCCCCUCCUUCCCUUGUGACAUCAUCAGGGCUGCCUGGACACUUGAACUAUCUUCGGCCGCUGACUUCAGGCUGGACAGCAUUUUUAUGGAAGGGAUUCAUGCAUGGAUCUGGGCAGGUGGCCUGAGGAAUGAAGAACAGUUGACGGCUCUCAAAGCCACUAAUCUUUGGGUGUCUCUCAAAAGGGAGCAGGAAGCCAAAAAACUGCCAUGCCUGAUUUCUUCCCAACUUCAUGACACCCUCACCCAGCCACUGCCAGGUCUUGAUUUCUUUAAGACUUCAGCUGGUAGGAAAGCCCAAGAGAGAAAUUUACCAUGAGCAUCACAGACCCAUAGAUGCUUGCUUGUCUGCCCAUCAGUCUCCCUGGGAAUUUUACCAUAAUAAUCACUGACACUUUCCUGCAAAGACUUAGAAGAACAUGACCAUCAGCACAUGUCUAGAAGGUGAGGAAAGAGGUUUUGGAGGUUCCCUGUUUUGUAUUUUCAGAGGGAAAAAUGCUAAACAGGGAGAGUGGAUGAAGUAUUUAUUAUUGGCAUGAGGAGAAAAAAAAUUACAAAUUUUUGUAAAUAUCAAAUUCCCAAGACCUCAAUUAACCCUACCUAUUUACUAAACUCCUUGUUUAGCCAACAAAGACAAUUGACAAGCACAGAGGAUAUUGGGAAUUUACUUAAAACAAUAACUUUGAGACUAGAUAAGAAAUUGGGCAGCUGGGUGGCUCAGUGAAUUGAGAGCCAAGCCUAGAGAUGGAAGGAAGAAUCUAUCCUCAGACACUUCCUAGCUUUGUGACUCUGAACAAAUUACUUAAUCCUCAUUGCCCUGCCCUUACUGCUCUUCUGCCAUGGAACCCAUACAUAGUAUAUAUUAUAACGCAGAAGGUAAGGGUUAAAAAAAAAAAAAGAUAAUCUUUUAUGAUGCUAGGGAGGUACAAAAUACAAACCCAGAAGAGGAAAAUAACUCCAAAACAUCUACAAGCAAAGCCUCAAAGAAAACUUAAGAACUCUGGUUUUAGCAAUGAUCAAUCAUAAUUCCAGAGGUCUAAUAAUUUGGAAAGCUUCCCAUCUCCGAACAGGGAUUGGUCUUAUAGCAAAAUUUUGGGAUCCCCUGAAAUAGAAACAAAAAAAAAAAGAAUUUAAAAAAAUCUUACUUUCCAUUUUAAAAUCACUACUUUGUAUCACUUCUAAGACAGAAGAGCAGUAAGGGCUAGGCAAUGGAGGUCAAGUGACUCAUCCAGGAUGAUAUAGCUAGGAAAUGUCUGGGGCCAAAUUUGAACCCAUGAUCUCCCAUCUCUAGAUCUCAAUUCACCGAGCCACCUAACUGC
rnacentral:lncRNA from 1 species